GCUCAGUACGGCGAGUGAAGCGGCAAAAGCUCAAAUUUGAAAUCUAGCACCUUCGGUGUUCGAGUUGUAAUUUGAAGAUGGUAACCUUGGGUUUGGCUCUUGUCUAUGUUCCUUGGAACAGGACGUCAUAGAGGGUGAGAAUCCCGUCUGAUGAGAUGCCCAUUCCUAUGUAAGGUGCUAUCGAAGAGUCGAGUUGUUUGGGAAAGGCAGCUCUAAGUGGGUGGUAAAUUCCAUCUAAAGCUAAAUAUUGGCGAGAGACCGAUAGCGAACAAGUACAGUGAUGGAAAGAUGAAAAGAACUUUGAAAAGAGAGUGAAAAAGUACGUGAAAUUGUUGAAAGGGAAGGGCAUUAGAUCAGACUUGGUGUUUUACGAUUAUCUUCUCUUCUUGAGUUGUGCACUCGUAUUUCACUGGGCCAGCAUCGAUUCGGAUGGCAAGAUAAUGGCAGUUGAAUGUGGCUUCACUUCGGUGGAGUGUUAUAGCUUCUGCUGAUAUUGCCUGUCUGGAUCGAGGGCUGCGUCUUUUGACUAGGAUGCUGGCGUAAUGAUCUAAUGCCGCCCGUCUU
rnacentral:rRNA from 1 species